UAUACACAUACAUUAACUUGUGCUUUAAAGAAUUCAGCUGCAUUAUAUUGAAAGCUGUCUAACUUAAGUUAGACGACUAUCUAUAUCUUACAUUCAUUAAUCCUAUUUUCUUCACUGCUUACUGCUUAGGUCAUGCUCAUGGUGGUAAAAUAAAGGCCUAUUGAGCUAUUAGUUAUCAGGGUCUCGGCAUCAACCAUCAGCCAUCCAACAAAAAUGUAAUAAACUAAUCCCAAUACUAAUCCAUACAACUAAACAGUUAAACUACUGGUAGACAGGAAAUACAAUAGCCAGCUUCAAGGACUUAACUUGUCUUGUUCCUUAUAUUACUUUAUUUUUAAACUGUCCAACAUUUUAUGAAUUGAGCUUAAGAAUAUCAGCUACCAGUCACCAGAUGUUUUUUAUGACACAUUAUACAGCUGAAACUAUUUCUGCUAAAGCUACUGCUGUUAUUAUAAUUCAUCAUUCAUAUAUUUCCUGAAUACUGGUGUUUAAUAUAUCAGAUAGACUCUAUAUGGACAUAAAAAAUAUAACACUUAAUGUUAUUAUAUAUUUUGUUAUGAAAUAUAAAAUAGCGCUAGGACAUAGUGGUCAGCUAAUGUGGGCGUUUGACUGCUGUGUGUGAUCGAUCAGCCCACGGAGUUUCCAGUUAAUUUCCAGAUGAACCGGAAAUUCCACCCACGGAUGUGAUAGAUGAUCUUACAGAUAAAUAUUUUCUCAUAAUUAUAUUACAGCUAAAUAAAAGCAAUGAAGACACUUUUGGUGAUACGAUAUGAUGCGAUAUGACACUUUGUGUGAUAUUAAAACACAAAUUCCUUUUUGCUUGUGUUGUAUUGUAUGGUAUUAUAUUAUAUUAAUAUUCAAGUUGUUGAUGACUGGGUAUAUAAUAUAAUACAUCACAUAAGUGUGACCGAUUUUUUCAAGCAUAAACAAAAUAAAACAUCCUCUAGCAGUCUUGAUAUUUAAAGCAGAAACAGAUAAGCGUGUAGUACACAUAAUACUCAUGGUAUUUAUGUACAUAUACAUAUUAUAUAUUUACAUCUAUAUAUAUUAGAGUAGAGAGACUGAACUCACACCCAUCUAUGAGUACAUAUGAAGAGGAAACCGAUUAUCGCUGGUGAAGUUUCGUCCAGAUGUUGUCUUCAUGCCCGCUCCUAUGCAUACCGGAAGCCAGUGCCUACGAGCAUAGCUAAGUCAUCAUGAAUAGAGAACUCAUCAUGUAUUCAUGUUUAUGUGGUUCUUGGUAUGUAGCUUGUUGCCUGUAGGAUGUUUGUCCAUGUACUAGUAAGUACCAUACGUCUUUACUCAGUAUUUACAGUUUACAUUUUAUUGGUAUGUAUGUGUGGAUAGUGGAUACUCAAGUGUGAUGACUGUAGAGCUGCGGAUGAGUGUAAGAGAGUGUGUAAAGUCCAUGUGAUUACCACGAAAGGAGGCCCCAGGUUGACAGGAAAUGGUUCGAGAUAAGAUAAUGACGUCCCUCGCCUCUCCUGCAUCCGGAGUUGUAGCUUUCUUUGCCACUAUACUACGCCGCGAUAUGCCGUUUAGUUUGACUUUUAUAAAGCCUUCUUUAUAUUCCACUUAAACAGACAGACGUACCGGAUAAAGUUAAGAAGAUUUGAUUCACUAUAGUAAUGAAAGUGUUAUUUUUUUAUAAGGAAGAAUAUGACAAUGACGAUAAUAAUGAGGAUGAUGGAAAACUAGCGCGCAGCAGCAUUACCCAGAACGACUUUUCCGUAGAAAGUAUCCCAGAAUAUCAGAGUAAUAGCUUUCACGUUUAAAACAUGCAAUGUCUCAUUUUGAGACAUGACAUGUGAAUUCUAUUGGGCAAUAAUAAACUUAUCCGGACGGUAGUAGACCGUCUAACUAAUCAA